rnacentral:rRNA from 1 species
UACGUAGGGGGCAAGCGUUGUCCGGAUUUAUUGGGCGUAAGGAGCGUGUAGGCGGCCAGAUAGGUCCGUUGUGAAAACUGGAGGCUUAACCUCCAGCUGUCGAUGGAAACCAUCUGGCUAGAGUCCGGAAGAGGAGAGUGGAAUUCCUGGUGUAGCGGUGAAAUGCGCAGAUAUCAGGAAGAACACCCGUGGCGAAGGCGGCUCUCUGGGACGGUACUGACGCUGAGACGCGAAAGCGUGGGGAGCGAACAGG